GAGGAUAGAGUGAGACUUGUCGGCGAGCGGCGGACGGCUGAGUAACGCGUGGGAACAUACCCCAAACUAAGGGAUAACUACUCGAAAGAGUGGCUAAUACCGUAUGUGCUCUUCGGAGUAAAGCUUCGGCGGUUUGGGAAUGGCCUGCGUACGAUUAGAUAGUUGGUGAGGUAAUGGCUCACCAAGUCGACGAUCGUUAGAUGGUUUGAGAGGAUGAACAUCCAGACUGGGACUGAGACACGGCCCAGACUCCUACGGGAGGCAGCAGUAGGGAAUCUUUCACAAUGGGCGAAAGCCUGAUGGAGCAACGCCGCGUGCAGGAUGAAGGCCUUCGGGUUGUAAACUGCUUUUAUAUCCGAGAAAUAUGAUGGUAAGAUAUGAAUAAGGAUCGGCUAACUACGUGCCAGCAGCCGCGGUCAUACGUAGGAUCCGAGCAUUAUCCGGAGUGACUGGGUGUAAAGAGUUGCG
rnacentral:rRNA from 1 species